rnacentral:rRNA from 1 species
CCUACGGGAGGCAGCAGUGGGGAAUAUUGCACAAUGGGGGAAACCCUGAUGCAGCGACGCCGCGUGAGUGAAGAAGGAUUUCGGUAUGUAAAGCUCGAGCAGCAGGGAAGAAAAGGACGGUACCUGAUCAAGAAGCCCCGGCUAACUACGGGCCAGCAGCCGCGGGAAUACGUAGGGGGCAAGCGUUCUCCGGAUUUACUGGGUGUAAAGGGAGUGUAGACGGUGCUGGCAGUCAGAAGUGAAAGCCCGGGGCUCAACUCCGGGACUGCUUUUGAAACUGUGGAACUGGAGUGCAGGAGAGGUAAGCGGAAUUCCUGGUGUAGCGGUGAAAUGCGUAGAUAUCAGGAGGAACCCCAGUGGCGAAGGCGGCUUACUGGACUGUAACUGACGUUGAGGCUCGAAAGCGUGGGGAGCAAACAGGAUUAGAUACCCCUGUAGUC